AUUGAACGCUGGCGGCAGGCCUAACACAUGCAAGUCGAGCGGAGCGGCGGACGGGGGAGUAAUGCCUAGGAAUCUGCCUGGUAGUGGGGGAUAACGUCCGGAAACGGGCGCUAAUACCGCAUACUAUCAGAUGAGCCUAGGUCGGAUUAGCUAGUUGGUGGGGUAGAGGCCUACCCAGGCGACGGUCAGUAACUGGUCUGAGAGGAUGAUCAGUCACCCUGAACAUUAGACACGGUCCGGGCUCCAACAGGAGACAGCAGUGGGGACAUUUGGACAAUGGGCGAAAGCCUGAUACGGCGAUGCAGCGUGUGUGAAGAAGGUCUUCGGAUUGUAGAGCGCUUUAAGUUGAGAGGCGUUACCAACAGAAUACACACCGGCAAACUUCGUGCCAGCAGCCGCGGUAAUAC
rnacentral:rRNA from 1 species